CUGAUCAUCUUUGUUCCAGAGCCCUUCAAGUGAAUUCCAAUUCUUGCUGUUCACAGAGCUCUCUCUUGUCUCUCAGCACAGGGUUGGGAGGAAAUCAGCUGGACAGAAUUGUAUGCCCCUAUUACAGUCCAUUGGAUUUUGAUCAAUAAUCACCUCGUCGCCAUCUACACCAGACCCAACCAACGUUGAAGUCGUCACUCUUCAAGGACCAUCUUUCGCUGCUGGGCCAAUUCUCUUUCGCCAUCGCCUCACCACCGGCUGCACCUGACCUGCCGAUGGCAGCUUGACUCAUCUCGCCGAUAUGGCUGUGAUGCCCUUCCACCACCGCUUCACCACCACCAGCGCCAGACCCAACCAACCACAAAGUCACCAAUCCUCAAGCGCCAUCUUUCAUCGCUGGGCCUACCUUGCCA